rnacentral:rRNA from 1 species
AUUGAACGCUGGCGGAAUGCUUUACACAUGCAAGUCGAACGGUAGAGGGGGCAACCCCUCGAGAGUGGCGAACGGGUGAGUAAUAUAUCGGAACGUGCCCAGUCGUGGGGGAUAACGUAGCGAAAGUUACGCUAAUACCGCAUACGAGCUAAGGACGAAAGCGGGGGAUCGCAAGACCUCGCGCGAAUGGAGCGGCCGAUAUCAGAUUAGGUAGUUGGGGGGGUAAAGGCUCACCAAGCCAACGAUCUGUAGCUGGUCUGAGAGGACGACCAGCCACACGGGAACUGAGACACGGUCCAGACUCCUACGGGAGGCAGCAGUGGGGAAUUUUGGACAAUGGACGCAAGUCUGAUCCAGCCGUUCCGCGUGCAGGAUGAAGGCCCUCGGGUUGUAAACUGCUUUUGUACGGAACGAAAAGGUCUCUCUUAAUACGGGGGGCUCAUGACGGUACCGUAAGAAUAAGCACCGGCUAACUACGUGCCAGCAGCCGCCGUAA